rnacentral:rRNA from 1 species
GCCGCGUGAGGGAUGACGGCCUUCGGGUUGUAAACCUCUUUUAGCAGGGAAGAAGCGAGAGUGACGGUACCUGCAGAAAAAGCGCCGGCUAACUACGUGCCAGCAGCCGCGGUAAUACGUAGGGCGCAAGCGUUAUCCGGAAUUAUUGGGCGUAAAGAGCUCGUAGGCGGUUUGUCGCGUCUGCUGUGAAAUCCCGAGGCUCAACCUCGGGCCUGCAGUGGGUACGGGCAGACUAGAGUGCGGUAGGGGAGAUUGGAAUUCCUGGUGUAGCGGUGGAAUGCGCAGAUAUCAGGAGGAACACCGAUGGCGAAGGCAGAUCUCUGGGCCGUAACUGACGCUGAGGAGCGAAAGGGUGGGGAGCAAACAGGCUUAGAUACCCUGGUAGUCCACCCCGUAAACGUUGGGAACUAGUUGUGGGGUCCAUUCCACGGAUUCCGUGACGCAGCUAACGCAUUAAGUUCCCCGCCUGGGGAGUACGGCCGCAAGGCUAAAACUCAAAGGAAUUGACGG